GGGCCGAGGCGCGGGCCGUGUGCCGCUGGGUGGCCCUGCGAGCCGCCGCUCUCCGCCUCUCUAGGCUCAGCUUCCAUCACCGCGUGGCGGAGCCCGUGUCCGGGCCAGGUCAGGGGGGCAGCUGUCCUGGCCAUGGGCAUCUGGACCCUGGUGGAGAGGAGCAGCUACCUCAGCAUCCUGGCCUCCAGCACCUUCACCGCCUCCGCCUGCAUCCUCAUCUGAGCGGGUACUCUCGUCAUGGUGACCGGCUUCCUGGGCAACAGCACCAUCUCCUAGGAGCAGAAGGGCUGCCUCUCCAUGCUCUGCAGGGAGGGGGACCCUGCACUACCACCCUAUUUCCCAGUGAGGUCCCCAGCAAGGAAGAAGGGCUCCAGUCCUGGAGUGGGAAGCGGCUGAGGCCAUGGGGCAGCCAGAGAGGGGGUGGCUGCUCGCCAGCCUGGUGUUCUCCAGGAUCUUAGGACACAGGCCAGGAGGCCAGCCUCGGCAGCUGCAGUAGUAGCUCCCUCUCAUCUGUCUCUCCUCCUCCCUCUCCUCCUCCUCUGCCCCUUCCUUCUUCUCCCUCCUCUCCUUCCCCUUCUCCCUUCCCUUCUCCUUCCUCUCCUCCUUCUCCCUUUUCCUCUGCCUUCUCUUCCUCCUCCUCCUCCUCCUCCUCUUUUUUCCCCUCGUCCUCCUCUCCCUCUCUUUCAUCCUUUCUCUUCCUGUUUCUCUUCCUGCUCCUUCCAGAUUUUAUCAUGGCAAUUUUCAAAGAUAUGCAAAAAUUUUAAAAAGUGCUUUAAUGAACCUCCAUCUUCCCAUCACCCAGGGCUCAACAGUUACCACUUCAUAGUCCAUCUCCAUUCGCUGGCCUGCACCCUCCCCUCCAUCCCUCCCUCUCCCCACCCCAGGAUGGUUUUGAAGCAAUCCCAGAUAUCAAAUCAUCUGUCAAUAUGUCAGCAUAUUUCUGAAAGAGCAAUAAACUUUUUAAAACAUUUAAAAAA
rnacentral:lncRNA from 1 species